rnacentral:rRNA from 1 species
AAUGGGGGCAACCCUGAUCCAGCCAUGCCGCGUGAGUGAAGAAGGCCUUCGGGUUGUAAAGCUCUUUUGGUCGGGAAGAAAGUGUCCUGCUUAAUACGUGGGAUAUUUGACGGUACCGGCAGAAUAAGCACCGGCUAACUACGUGCCAGCAGCCGCGGUAAUACGUAGGGUGCGAGCGUUAAUCGGAAUUACUGGGCGUAAAGCGUGCGCAGGCGGUUGGUUAAGUCUGAUGUGAAAGCCCCGGGCUCAACCUGGGAAUGGCAUUGGAAACUGGCCAGCUGGAGUAUGGCAGAGGGGGGUGGAAUUCCACGUGUAGCAGUGAAAUGCGUAGAGAUGUGGAGGAACACCGAUGGCGAAGGCAACCCCCUGGGCCAAUACUGACGCUCAGGCACGAAAGCGUGGGGAGCAAA